GGCUCGUUGGUCUAGAGGUAUGAUACUCGCUUCGGGUGCGAGUGACCCGGGUUCGAGUCCCGGAUGAGCCC
rnacentral:tRNA from 1 species